GCUAUACAUGCAAGUCGAGCGAACAGACGAGGAGCUUGCUCCUUUGACGUUAGCGGCGGACGGGUGAGUAACACGUAGGUAACCUACCUAUAAGACUGGGAUAACUUCGGGAAACCGGAGCUAAUACCGGAUAAUAUUUCGAACCGCAUGGUUCGAUAGUGAAAGAUGGCUUUGCUAUCACUUAUAGAUGGACCUGCGCCGUAUUAGCUAGUUGGUAAGGUAACGGCUUACCAAGGCAACGAUACGUAGCCGACCUGAGAGGGUGAUCGGCCACACUGGAACUGAGACACGGUCCAGACUCCUACGGGAGGCAGCAGUAGGGAAUCUUCCGCAAUGGGCGAAAGCCUGACGGAGCAACGCCGCGUGAGUGAUGAAGGUCUUCGGAUCGUAAAACUCUGUUAUUAGGGAAGAACAAACGUGUAAGUAACUGUGCACGUCUUGACGGUACCUAAUCAGAAAGCCACGGCUAACUACGUGCCAGCAGCGGCCGGGUAAUA
rnacentral:rRNA from 1 species